rnacentral:rRNA from 1 species
GGACCAAGGAGUCUAGCAUGUGCGCGAGUCAUUGGGACAUGACUAAACCUAAAGGCACAAUGAAAGUGAAAGUUCGCCUAGCGCGGACCUAGGGAGGAUGAGCGGUCGUUACGGCUGCCGCUCCGCACUCCCGGGGCGUCUCGUUCUCAUUGCGAGAAGAGGCGCACCAAGAGCGUACACGCUGGGACCCGAAAGAUGGUGAACUAUGCCUGGUCAGGACGAAGUCAGGGGAAACCCUGAUGGAGGUCCGUAGCGAUUCUGACGUGCAAAUCGAUCGUCGGAACUGGGUAUAGGGGCGAAAGACUAAUCGAACCAUCUAGUAGCUGGUUCCCUCCGAAGUUUCCCUCAGGAUAGCUGGCGCUUAUUGCGUACGAGUUUCAUCCGGUAAAGCGAAUGAUUAGAGGCAUUGGGGUCGAAACGGCCUCAACCUAUUCUCAAACUUUAAAUGGGUGAGAUCUCCGGCUUGCUCGAACUCUUUGAUGAAGCCGCGAGACUCGAAUCAGAGUGCCAAGUGGGCCAUUUUUGGUAAGCAGAACUGGCGCUGUGGGAUGAACCAAACGCCGAGUUAAAGCGCCUAAAUCGACGCUUAUGGGAUACCAUGAAAGGCGUUGGUAACUUAAGACAUCAGGACGGUGGCCAUGGAAGUCGGA